rnacentral:rRNA from 1 species
GAUAAACGCUGGCGGCGUGCAUGAGACAUGCAAGUCGAACGGACGACUCGAGGCUUGCUUCGAGUCGUUAGUGGCGGACGGCUGAGUAACGCGUGGGUGACCUGCCCCGAAGUGGGGAAUAACUGCCCGAAAGGGUGGCUAAUACCGCAUGUGGUGAUGCGUUCAAUCGCAUCAGUAAAGCCGCAAGGCGCUUCGGGAGGGGCCUGCGUCCGAUUAGCUCGUUGGUGGGGUAACGGCUCACCAAGGCGACGAUCGGUAGGUGGUCUGAGAGGACGAUCACCCAGACUGGGACUGAGACACGGCCCAGACUCCUACGGGAGGCAGCAGUCGGGAAUUUUGCGCAAUGGACGAAAGUCUGACGCAGCAACGCCGCGUGAGGGAUGACGGCCUUCGGGUUGUAAACCUCUUUUGUCAGGGACGAUGAUGACGGUACCUGACGAAUAAGCCACGGCUAACUACGUGCCAGCAGCCGCAGUAAAAC